GUCCGGGUGGCGAAAUUGGAAGACGCGCUACCUUGAGGGGGUAGUGGGAUUAAUUCCCGUGUGGGUUCAAAUCCCACCCCGGACA
rnacentral:tRNA from 1 species